rnacentral:rRNA from 1 species
UACGUAGGUGGCAAGCGUUGUCCGGAAUUAUUGGGCGUAAAGCGCGCGCAGGCGGUCCUUUAAGUCUGAUGUGAAAGCCCACGGCUCAACCGUGGAGGGUCAUUGGAAACUGGGGGACUUGAGUGCAGAAGAGGAAAGUGGAAUUCCAAGUGUAGCGGUGAAAUGCGUAGAGAUUUGGAGGAACACCAGUGGCGAAGGCGACUUUCUGGUCUGUAACUGACGCUGAGGCGCGAAAGCGUGGGGAACAAACAGG